GACGAACGCUGGCGGCGUGCCUAAUACAUGCAAGUAGAACGCUGAAGGAUGAUCUUGCUUCUCUGGAUGAGUUGCGAACGGGUGAGUAACGCGUAGGUAACCUGCCUGGUAGCGGGGGAUAACUAUUGGAAACGAUAGCUAAUACCGCAUAAUAGCAGUUAUUGCAUGAUAACUGUUUGAAAGGUGCAAUUUCACCACUACCAGAUGGACCUGCGUUGUAUUAGCUAGUUGGUGGGGUAACGGCUCACCAAGGCGACGAUACAUAGCCGACCUGAGAGGGUGAUCGGCAAAACUGGGACUGAGACACGGCCCAGACUCCUACGGGAGGCAGCAGUAGGGAAUCUUCGGCAAUGGACGGAAGUCUGACCGAGCAACGCCGCGUGAGUGAAGAAGGUUUUCGGAUCGUAAAGCUCUGUUGUAAGAGAAGAACGAGUGUGAGAGUGGAAAGUUCACACUGUGACGGUAUCUUACCAGAAAGGGACGGCUAACUACGUG
rnacentral:rRNA from 1 species